UACGAAGGGGGCUAGCGUUGCUCGGAAUCACUGGGCGUAAAGCGCACGUAGGCGGCUUCUUAAGUCAGGGGUGAAAUCCUGGAGCUCAACUCCAGAACUGCCUUUGAUACUGGGAAGCUUGAGUCCGGGAGAGGUGAGUGGAACUGCGAGUGUAGAGGUGAAAUUCGUAGAUAUUCGCAAGAACACCAGUGGCGAAGGCGGCUCACUGGCCCGGUACCGACGCUGAGGUGCGAAAGCGUGGGGAGCAAACAGG
rnacentral:rRNA from 1 species